AAGCUGAAGAAAAAUAUCAAGCCCCUGAUUCCGUGAUGAGUCACUGCUCUUUUGCAGGACACUGAGAUAAAGCAAGAUGACAUCUUCAUUCUUUAUUACAGGGCUUGCCUUGAGAUCAAACUUCCCAUCAACCAACAUAUCAAGCAGAGCAUCUAAAAGCGCCUCACUUGGUUGCCAUUGGCAGAAGUCCAACAGCAAGCUACGCAAAGUCUGAU
rnacentral:misc_RNA from 1 species